rnacentral:lncRNA from 1 species
CACAAAGAUAUAGGAACACUAAAAGUGCUAUUCGAUGCGUGAGACGGGAUAAUAGGCACCGCCUUAAGCCUUCUAAUUCGAGCAGACUUAGGCCAACUAGGAACUCUGCUAGGAGAUAAUCAGAUCUACAAUGUUAUUGCUACCGCCCACGCAUUCGUUAUAAUUUUCUUUAAGGUAAUACCAAUCAUGAUGGGGGGUUUCAGCAACUGUCUACUCCCUCUGAUAAUUCGUGCACCGAUAUGGCAUUCCCCCGGAUAAAUAAUAUGAGCAUCUGACUUCUCCCCCCAUCUUUUCUACUCCUACUUGUGUCCUCAAUAGAAGCCGGCGCUGGAACCAGCUGAACAGUUUAUCCCCCUUUAGCAGAAAACCUAGCACAUGGAGGAGCCUCUGUGGACCUGAUCAUCUUCUCGCUCCACUUAGCAGGUAUUUCUUUUAUUUUAGGGGCCAUUAAUUUUAUUAUCACAAUUAUUAACAUAAAACCCCCCGCC